rnacentral:rRNA from 1 species
AUUGAACGCUGGCGGCAGGCCUAACACAUGCAAGUCGAACGAGUGGCGGACGGGUGAGUAAUGUCUGGGAAACUGCCCGAUGGAGGGGGAUAACUACUGGAAACGGUAGCUAAUACCGCAUACCAUCGGAUGUGCCCAGAUGGGAUUAGCUAGUAGGUGGGGUAACGGCUCACCUAGGCGACGAUCCCUAGCUGGUCUGAGAGGAUGACCAGCAAAACUGGAACUUGGAACCGGUCCAGAUCCCUCGGGGGGGCAGCAGUGGGGAAUAUUGGAAAAGGGGCGCAAGCCUGAUGCAGCAAUGCCGCGUGUAUGAAGAGGGCCUUCGGGUUGUAAAGUACUUUCAGCGAGGAGGCGUUACUCGCAGAAGAAGCAUCGGCUAACUCCGUGCCAGCAGCCGCGGUAAUUC